rnacentral:misc_RNA from 1 species
CGGAAGUGCAACUUAAUCUUAGAAACUUGGAGAGACAAGAAAGAGAGGAGACUCUUUUAUUGUACCUGAUAACUCUAGGAUAAGUAGUAGGUCCCUUGUUUUUGGCAAGAAGAGUUACAUGGUUCCUUAUGCUAAUGAAUUGUAGAGCACGCUGUCAAACAUCAUCUUGGAGAAAGAUGCUGUAAGGGCAUGUUCUUGGACAUCUAUUUGAGACGAAGUGGUUAAAACCUAUGUUUGUUUGGACUCUCCAAAAAUGCUG